UACGUAGGGUGCAAGCGUUGUCCGGAUUUAUUGGGCGUAAAGAGCGUGUAGGCGGCCAGGUAGGUCUGCUGUGAAAACUCGAGGCUUAACCUCGAGAUGUCGGCGGAAACCAUCUGGCUAGAGUCCGGAAGAGGAGAGUGGAAUUCCUGGUGUAGCGGUGAAAUGCGCAGAUAUCAGGAAGAACACCCGUGGCGAAGGCGGCUCUCUGGGACGGUACUGACGCUGAGACGCGAAAGCGUGGGGAGCGAACAGG
rnacentral:rRNA from 1 species